rnacentral:rRNA from 1 species
AACGAACGCUGGCGGCAGGCUUAACACAUGCAAGUCGAACGCAUCCUUCGGGGUGAGUGGCAGACGGGUGAGUAACGCGUGGGAACGUGCCCUUCAGUUCGGGAUAACCCAGGGAAACUUGGGCUAAUACCGGAUACGUGCGAGAGCAGAAAGAUUUAUCGCUGAAGGAUCGGCCCGCGUCUGAUUAGCUAGUUGGUGGGGUAAUGGCCAACCAAGGCGACGAUCAAUAGCUGGUCUGAGAGGAUGAUCAGCCACAGUGGGACUGGGACACGGCCCAAACUCCUACGGGAGCCAGCAGUGGGGAAUAUUGGACAAUGGGCGCAAGCCUGAUCCAGCCAUGCCGCGUGAGUGAUGAAGGCCUUAGGGUUGUAAAGCUCUUUCGUCCGGGACGAUAAUGACGGUACCGGAAGAAGAAGCCCCGGCUAACUUCGUGCCAGCCGCCGCAGUAA